rnacentral:lncRNA from 1 species
GGGAGAGUGCCUCUAAUCCAGACAGCCUCCAUGAUUGAAAGGGGAGAAAUAAGAAAAGCCUGAAAGUCAAUUAACCUGAAGCUGAACAACGGAAUGCCUGACUCCACUGUUGAACUCCCCUCACCCAGCAGCCACCUCAGUGCCGCAGAAAGACUGUCUUGCCUCUUCUCACUCCUGCUGGCCAAGAAAGCACAGGAACCUCACAGGACCUGCACAUUGAACUAAAUUACUUCUAGCAGAAAAAAACUCCAUCAGUGAAGCACUCAUGCAUCCCAGACGUAUUUUAAGGGCACCAGUGACGAUCUCUCCUUUAACUCCUGGGCCUCUUACUGCUUCAGCUUCAGACAGAACUGGAGAAGGAAAUUAAGAAAACCAAGAUGUAAUGCUGUUAGCCGUGGCGAAUUCAUAUGGAUCUGCAGAAAACUCAAUUCUUGCCUCCUCAGAAGAAAGAAUUUGACCGAGGGACAUAAGGCAGAAGGAGAGACUGAGGCAAGUUUUAGAGCAGGAGUAAAAGUUUAUUAAAAAUCUUUAGAGCAGGAGCGAAAGAAGUGCACUUGGAAGAGGGCCAAGCGGAUGCCUUGAGAGAUCAAGUGUGCUGUUUGACCUUUGACUUGGGGUUUUAUACACUGGCACGCUUCCAGGCUGUUGCGUCCCUCCCCUGCCCCCGCAUUCUUCCCUUGGGGUGGGCUGUACGCAUGCACGUGUGUUUCCUGGAGUUGUACACAUGCUCCCUUGAAGCAUUGUUCCCUCACCAGUAGAAUGCUCUCAGAAGGUCAUAUACCUGUGAAACUCUGCUGGUUUGCCUCUUAGUGCCCCUGCGUGAGCCCACUCAUCCAACUCCUGAGAUCUUAGUUCUGGGUGUUUCUGCCUAUUGGGAGACUGCCUUUCCCUGAUCCCGGCUGCAUCCAAUUAUUGUUUUGGAGAGAGAGCUCAACAACUGCCAGACUAUCACCUGGUGGUCGCCUGGUGCAGGGAGGUCAGGGGGGGCUCUCCUGCCCUGCUCAUGUCUGGGUCGCUACCUUCUGUAACAGUGUUGCAUAUUUAAAAAUCCACAUCUGCAUCCAAGUACUGCAACAGAACACGAAACAAUACUUUCUAGAGCCACAGUCAAUGAAAGAGUGAGAAAGUCUGUCUUCAAAGUCGUCCCGGAACAGAAACAUUUGCCCCUUGUCUUUUAGAUAUGAUUUCUGUCAAUGUAGCGUCCGACAGGGUGGAGAAAGUUGUAUUCAGUAAGAAACACUUUUAUUUUCCAUUCGAUUUCCCAAAUUUGUGUAAAAGAGACACCAAACAUUCACUGACGUUCCCGAUGACCUGAACUCUGAGAUGAAAUUUUCUAAUUUAGUAAAAAUACAGAGGAGGAAAAUAAACUUUAACAGGAGGAAGGAUAUAGAACCUAACCUAUAGCUCAAGCUAUAGAACACUAAGCCAGAUACAGCAACCCUGGUGAAAGAUUACAAAGGAUAUUUCUACAGCUGAUAAAAUGUCUAUUAAUAUUAAUUAUUUUAUUUUUAUAAUUUUAAAAUAUAAUUUUAAAUAUUUUAUCACUUAUUGUCUA